rnacentral:rRNA from 1 species
GAUGAACGCUAGCUACAGGCUUAACACAUGCAAGUCGAGGGGAUACGAUAUUGGAAGCUUGCCUCCGAUAGGCGUCGACCGGCGCACGGGUGAGUAACGCGUAUCCAACCUGCCCAUCACUUGGGGAUAACCUUGCGAAAGUAAGACUAAUACCCAAUGACGUCUCUAGAAGACAUCUGAAGGAGAUUAAAGAUUUAUCGGUGAUGGAUGGGGAUGCGUCUGAUUAGCUUGUUGGCGGGGUAACGGCCCACCAAGGCGACGAUCAGUAGGGGUUCUGAGAGGAAGGUCCCCCACAUUGGAACUGAGACACGGUCCAAACUCCUACGGGAGGCAGCAGUGAGGAAUAUUGGUCAAUGGACGAGAGUCUGAACCAGCCAAGUAGCGUGCAGGAUGACGGCCCUAUGGGUUGUAAACUGCUUUUAUAAGGGAAUAAAGUGAGUCUCGUGAGACUUUUUGCAUGUACCUUAUGAAUAAGGACCGGCUAAUUCCGUGCCAGCCGCCGCGGUAA